rnacentral:rRNA from 1 species
AUUGAACGCUGGCGGCAUGCUUUACACAUGCAAGUCGAACGGCAGCGCGGGCUUCGGCCUGGCGGCGAGUGGCGAACGGGUGAGUAAUGCAUCGGAACGUGCCCAGUAGUGGGGGAUAGCCCGGCGAAAGCCGGAUUAAUACCGCAUACGACCUGAGGGUGAAAGCGGGGGACCGAAAGGCCUCGCGCUAUUGGAGCGGCCGAUGUCGGAUUAGCUAGUUGGGGGGGUAAAGGCUUACCAAGGCGACGAUCCGUAGCUGGUCUGAGAGGACGACCAGCCACACUGGGACUGAGACACGGCCCAGACUCCUACGGGAGGCAGCAGUGGGGAAUUUUGGACAAUGGGGGCAACCCUGAUCCAGCCAUGCCGCGUGCGGGAAGAAGGCCUUCGGGUUGUAAACCGCUUUUGUUCGGGAAGAAAUCCUCUGGGCUAAUACCCCGGGGGGAUGACGGUACCGGAAGAAUAAGCACCGGCUAACUACGUG